UACGGAGGGUGCAAGCGUUGUUCGGAAUUACUGGGCGUAAAGGGCGCGUAGGUGGUUAUGCAAGUCAGAUGUGAAAUCCUUCGGCUCAACUGAAGAACUGCAUCUGAAACUGCAUAACUAGAGUACAGGAGAGGGAAACGGAAUUCCCGGUGUAGAGGUGAAAUUCGUAGAUAUCGGGAGGAACACCUGUGGCGAAGGCGGUUUCCUGGCCUGAUACUGACACUGAGGCGCGAAAGCGUGGGGAGCAAACAGG
rnacentral:rRNA from 1 species